rnacentral:rRNA from 1 species
GAUGAACGCUGGCGGCGUGCCUAAUACAUGCAAGUCGAGCGAACAGAGGAAGAGCUUGCUCCGCUUACGUUAGCGGCGGACGGGUGAGUAACACGUGGAUAACCGACAUAUAAGACUGGCAUAAGUUCGGGAAACCUGAUCUAAUACAGGAUAAUAUAGUGAACCGCAUGGUUCUAUAGUGAAAAACGGUUUAGCUGUCACUUAUACAUGUAUCCUCGCCGCAUUAGCUAGUUGGUAAGGUAACGGCUUACCAAGGCAACGAUGCGUAGCCGACCUGAGAGGGUGAUCAGCCACACUGGAACUGAGACACGGUCCAGACUCCUACGGGAGGCAGCAGUAGGGAAUCUUCCGCAAUGGGCGAAAGCCUGACGGAGCAACGCCGCGUGAGUGAUGAAGGUCUUCGGAUCGUAAAACUCUGUUAGUUGGGAGGAAGAAAUGUGAAAGUAAAUAUGCACGUCUUGACGGUACCUAAUCAGAAAGCCACGGCUAACUACGUG